rnacentral:rRNA from 1 species
GGGUCAGUAGGUUGGUCGUGCCACCGGUACGUACUGGUCUCACUGAUUCCUCCUUCCUGAAGAACCGUAAUGCCAUCAAUUUGGUGUUGCGGGGAAACAGGACUGUUACUUUGAAAAAAUUAGAGUGUUUAAAGCAGGCUAACGCUUGAAUACAUUAGCAUGGAAUAAUGAAAUAGGACGAUCGAUCCUAUUUUGUUGGUUUCUAGGAUUGACGUG